GUGUUGUAUGAAAGGAGAGAAGGUUAGCACUCUCCUUGAUGGAAGAACCCCUUGUGGCCUAUACAACACGCAUGCGGUUUAGGCACUGCCACCUACUUAGUGGCAUCUAAGCAUGUUUU
rnacentral:ncRNA from 1 species